rnacentral:rRNA from 1 species
UACGUAGGGGGCGAGCGUUGUUCGGAAUUACUGGGCGUAAAGGGCGCGCAGGCGGCUCUGAAAGUCAGAUGUGAAAGCCCCGGGCUUAACCUGGGAAUUGCAUUUGAUACUCUGGAGCUUGAGUGUGGGAGAGGAGAGUGGAAUUCCCAGUGUAGAGGUGAAAUUCGUAGAUAUUGGGAAGAACACCGGUGGCGAAGGCGGCGACCUGGUCCUUGACUGACGCUGAGGCGCGAAAGCGUGGGGAGCAAACAGG